rnacentral:rRNA from 1 species
CGCUGGCGGCAGGCUUAACACAUGCAAGUCGAACGGUAGCAGGAAGAAAGCUUGCUUUCUUUGCUGACGAGUGGCGGACGGGUGAGUAAUGCUUGGGAAUCUGGCUUAUGGAGGGGGAUAACUGUGGGAAACUGCAGCUAAUACCGCGUAUUCUCUGAGGAGGAAAGGGUGGGACCUUAGGGCCACCUGCCAUAAGAUGAGCCCAAGUGGGAUUAGGUAGUUGGUGGGGUAAAGGCCUACCAAGCCUGCGAUCUCUAGCUGGUCUGAGAGGAUGACCAGCCACACUGGAACUGAGACACGGUCCAGACUCCUACGGGAGGCAGCAGUGGGGAAUAUUGCGCAAUGGGGGGAACCCUGACGCAGCCAUGCCGCGUGAAUGAAGAAGGCCUUCGGGUUGUAAAGUUCUUUCGGUAAUGAGGAAGGGAUGUUGUUAAAUAGAUAGCAUCAUUGACGUUAAUUACAGAAGAAGCACCGGCUAACUCCGUGCCAGCCGCCGCGGUAAU